AAACUGUGUUAUGGGCAUGAACUGAUAAGAUCCUUGAACCGCUCCCAACAUUGGAAGAAUGUUUCAUCUUCCUUCUGGGUGAAGAUCAUUAUUGACUUUCUAAGGGU